UACGUAGGGUCCGAGCGUUGUCCGGAAUUAUUGGGCGUAAAGAGCUUGUAGGCGGUUUGUCGCGUCUGCUGUGAAAUUUCGGGGCUCAACCCCGAACUUGCAGUGGGUACGGGCAGACUAGAGUGUGGUAGGGGAGACUGGAAUUCCUGGUGUAGCGGUGAAAUGCGCAGAUAUCAGGAGGAACACCGAUGGCGAAGGCAGGUCUCUGGGCCACUACUGACGCUGAGAAGCGAAAGCCAGGGGAGCAAACGGG
rnacentral:rRNA from 1 species